rnacentral:rRNA from 1 species
UUCUGGCUCAGGAUGAACGCUAGCGACAGGCUUAGCACAUGCAAGUCGAGGGGCAGCAUAAAAGUAGCAAGUACUUGGUGGCGACCGGCGCACGGGUGAGUAACGCGUAUGCAACCUACCUAUCAGAGGGGAAUAACCCGGCGAAAGUCGGACUAAUACCGCAUAAAACAGGGGCACCGCAUGGUGAUAUUUGUUAAAGAAAUUCGCUGAUAGAUGGGCAUGCGUUCCAUUAGGGUAGUUGGUGAGGUAACGGCUCACCAAGCCGACGAUGGAUAGGGGAACUGAGAGGUUGGUCCCCCACACUGGUACUGAGACACGGACCAGACUCCUACGGGAGGCAGCAGUGAGGAAUAUUGGUCAAUGGGCGGGAGCCUGAACCAGCCAAGUCGCGUGAAGGAAGAAGGAUCUAUGGUUCGUAAACUUCUUUUGCAGGGGAAUAAAGUGCAGGACGUGUCCUGUUUUGUAUGUACCCUGAGAAUAAGGAUCGGCUAACUCCGUGCCAGCCGCCGC